CAAAAUGUCAGCCGCACGCGGUGCGUGGAGUUUGGAGUCAGGAGUUGACAUCACUUAUUUACAACAACACAGUUUGUCGAGUGACUCAGUAGCCGCAGGCACAAGUCUCAAUCGUCCAUCGAGGGUUGGACAUAAAAUCGAACCAACUCAUGGUGAAGGCCAUUCCGGUAGCUUGAUCGUUGGUGACGCACUCGGUGCUAACUCCUCUUGCUGCUGUGCGUGCGGUGCGGUGCGUCACAGUCCGACAGGUGGGAGCGACAAGUGUAAGAGGCAUCGGGUUGCGACAACUGACUGGCUGUGACGCACAGCGAAAUUAAUAUUUCAGGGAGGCAGCUGACCGUGUCCGCCUUUCAGGCCACUGUUCGCCGACUACAGAUGAUGGACUAUAAUUACCUCUGCUGCUGCAUUUGCUGAUGGUAACUGGAAUCCUCACAUAUUUUGCAGUCACAGACUGUGAGCAACUGUGACAACAUGUUGUGCUGCAAAGACCCCUUCAUCGCCAGGAACA